GACGAACGCUGGCGGCGUGCUUAACACAUGCAAGUCGAACGGAAAGGCCCUGCUUGUGGGGGGUGCUCGAGUGGCGAACGGGUGAGUAACACGUGAGUAACCUGCCCUUGACUUUGGGAUAACUUCAGGAAACUGGGGCUAAUACCGGAUAGGAGCUCCUGCUGCAUGGUGGGGGUUGGAAAGUUUCGGCGGUUGGGGAUGGACUCGCGGCUUAUCAGCUUGUUGGUGGGGUAGUGGCUUACCAAGGCUUUGACGGGUAGCCGGCCUGAGAGGGUGACCGGCCACAUUGGGACUGAGAUCCGGCCCAGACUCCUCCGGGAGGCAGCAGUGGGGAAUAUUGCACAAUGGGCGGAAGCCUGAUGCAGCAACGCCGCGUGCGGGAUGACGGCCUUCGGGUUGUAAACCGCUUUCGCCUGUGACGAAGCGUGAGUGACGGUAAUGGGUAAAGAAGCACCGGCUAACUACGUG
rnacentral:rRNA from 1 species